UAAUUUGNCUCAACNCCGNGGGAAANUUAUNCAGGUCCCAGCNCAUAAGUGAGGGAUUGGCAGAUUUGAGGAGCUNUUUUCUUGANUUCUAUGGGUGGGUGGUGCAUGGCCGUUCUUUAGUUGGUGGAGUGAUUUAUCUGGUUAAUUCCGUUAGCGAACGAGACCCCCGCCUGGUAAAUAGUCANAGGAAUGCUUAGCAUUUCUGUUGGCUUCUUAGAGGGACUUUCGGUGACUANCCGAAGGAAGUNGGGGGCAAUNACAGGUCUGUGAUGCCCNUAGAUGUCNUGGGCCGCACGCGCGNUACACUGACACACGCAGCGAGUUCUCCUUGUUCCGAAAGGUCCGGGAAAUCUUUGGAAAUGUGUUGUCGUGAUAGGGAUAGAUUUAUUGCCAAUUAUUAAUUCUUGAACCGAGGAAUUUCCUUAGGU
rnacentral:rRNA from 1 species